CGUCAGGCUCGGAAGCCAGCAGCGCCGGGGGG
rnacentral:SRP_RNA from 11 species